GCCAGGUGUGGUGGCUCACACCUGUAAUCCCUGCUCUUUAGGAGGCUGAGGCAGGUGGAUCACCUGAGGACAGGAGUUUUAGACCAGCCUGGCCAAGAUGGUGAAACUCUGCCUCUA
rnacentral:SRP_RNA from 1 species